GGCUUGAAUUGGGAGACGGGGGCGGGGCGGGGCUCGAGGCGCGCCUACUUGGGCUGCAGCCCCUUGCGGGCCUUCCUGCUGCAACGCGCGCUGGAGGACGCACGGCUUGGCGGGAAGGCGAGGGCACUGUGCGGAGCCUCCGGUGCUGGCGGCGGCCACGAGUGGGAGCCCGGGUCCGGCCGCAGCACGCGGAACAGAGCAGAAGGUGGCGGGGUCCGGCGAAGCCACGAUGAAGCCGAGCAGCGAGGAAGAGGGAGAGUUGGUGCAGGGCGUGGGCCCCUGGGACGAGUGCUUCGAGGUGGCCGUGCAGUUGGCGCUGCGUGCGGGACAAAUCAUCAGGAAGGCCCUGACAGAGGAAAAACGCGUCUCUACAAAAACAUCUGCUGCCGAUCUUGUGACAGAAACAGAUCACCGAGUAGAAGAUUUAAUUGUUUCUGAGUUGCGAAAGCGGUUUCCUUCACACAGGUUCAUUGCAGAAGAGGCCACAGCCUCCGGGGCCAAGUGUGUGCUCACCCACAGCCCGACCUGGAUCAUCGACCCCAUCGACGGCACCUGCAACUUUGUGCACAGGUUCCCCACUGUGGCAGUUAGCAUCGGAUUUGCUGUUCACCAGGAGCUGGAAUUUGGAGUGAUUCACCACUGCACAGAGGAGCGGCUGUACACCGGCAGGAGGGGCCAAGGCGCCUUUUGCAAUGGCCAGCGGCUUCAGGUCUCCAGGGAGACAGAUCUCGCAAAGGCCUUGGUUCUGACAGAAAUCGGGCCCAAACGCGACCCCGAUACUCUGAAAGUAUUCCUGAGCAACAUGGAGCGGCUGCUGCACGCCAAGGCUCAUGGGUACAGGUCCUCAGUCCCCGUAGCCAGUGGGUUGAAAACCAAAUGUGCUCUUGGCUAAACACCCCCAAGGGAUGUGAAGAGGAGGCACCGAGAGGUAGGACAGGAGGCUGCUGACACCAGGCUGAGGCAUGCCAUGCGCCAUCAUCCACGGAACACUCUGGCUGCCAGGGUCCGAGUGAUUGGCAGCUCCACCUUGGCCCUCUGUUACCUGGCCUCAGGUGCAGCCGACGCCUAUUAUCAGUUUGGCCUUCACUGCUGGGACCUGGCAGCUGCCACAGUCAUCAUUAGAGAAGCAGGCGGCAUUGUGAUUGACACCUCAGGUGGACCCCUUGACCUCAUGUCGUGCAGAGUCGUAGCUGCUGGCACCAGAGAGAUGGCAGUGCUCAUAGCUCAGGCCCUACAAACUAUUAACUACGGCCGAGACGAUGAGAAGUGAGCCACACACAGCUCGAAGGCUAAAAACGCAGCAGCAACCUGGGAAAGAGCUGUCCCGGUGGCUUAAGUUCCAGGACAGUCUACCAUAGCUCUCCCUGGGCCUUGCCUCGGUGCUUAGCUGAUUCUCUCUAAUCUCGUGUAGCCCCUUUUCAGGUCGGUACGUGUUCUUUUCAUCAGAGCCAAACCCAGAUCUUGUGAGGGGUGUGUUAGUCAUCCAUCCUGAUUGUUUUUCCAGAAUGCAAAUCUCAGGUGAUACAGCUUUAGAACGGGCUCUCAGGCCCUCCCCUGACCGUGGUAAGACGGAAUGCAAUAAAUCAGAAUUAUAGUGGUCUGCUUUGGGUCUUCCUCCAGCCUCUGGUUCUCAGGCAAGGCUGUUACUGCUAUUACCCCACUGGUCGUCUAUGCUCAGCUUGGAUGUCUGGCACCCGACCAUGGCGACGGUGAAAACUUUCCCUAAAUAUCAGUCUCCUGAUCUACAGGUUGUAUUUAACUACACAUAGAUAAUCUUUAGCCAUUUUUUUAUACUGCCUUCAGUUGACCUUCAGGGAGUACGUGUAUCGUAUAAAUUAAAAUGCUGUAUACAGAACCCUUUAUCGAAGCCCACGUGUACUGAAAGUGGAAAAAAAAUGAGAAACUGAAAAACAGUGCUAAAAUAUUUUGUGACAAACAUUUUUGUAAACAUAAAGUCUUUCAGGAGUUGCAACUUUUUAAACAGUGGAAUUUUGGGGGGGUAGGGGGACGCUGGGGUAGAACUCAGGCUCUCAUGCAGAGUAGAUGGACUUUGUACCACUGAGCUAUAUCCCAGCACUAGGGACCAGAAUUUUGGUUCCAAGUUAAGCUGGGGGCCUAGACUGUUGUGCCAGGUGACUGCAGACAAGGCCCAGGUGGUUCUGAAAUAUCUGUACUAACAAGGCCUCAGGGCUUUUUCCAUCUCUUGAACCUGGUCAGUUCUACACCUGGCACACCACGGUUGCUGUCGGAGGGGAAAGAGACAGCACUUCCCUUCUGUGCCAGAAAAUACGUUUCUCUUAAUUAGUGAGAGCUUUGUGUGUUUCCCUUGUUUUGAGAAAAUAUAAGCUCUGUGCUUUGUCGAAUACCCUUUCUCUGUGGCGGCCCUGGCAAACCACAAAGCUCUCAUCCAUUAUCUUCGUGGGAUCAAAUGUCCAGGACUUUUCAAGCUACUGAAUACUUCGGAAAGCAGCUAAGCCAUUCUGAGAUGGCUGUUAGGCUCAUCUCCUGAAGCUGCUGUAUCUAUCUGCGUGACUGUUUAUCCAUGCCUGCGAGUCAUUCUGGUAGCAGUUUUCCAUACGUGAGGGUUUUGUUUCUUUGAGAAGGGAUUUCUUGAAUCCCAGGCUGGCCUGGAACUUUCUGUGUAGCCAAGAAGGGCCUUGACCUCCUGGUCCUCCAGCCUCCACCUCCCGCCGCAGGGAUGACGGACAUGUGCUGCCAUGCCUGGCACUAUGACGUUCUCUGAUUUACCCCAGUAGGCCUGCAUUUGAACCCUUUUCUUUUUUCUUUUCUUUUUUUUUUCUCAGAACACACUCAAAACAGCACCUCACAUAUACGUAGCUACACAAGAAAUUACUCAGAGACUCUGCAAUGAUUAUGAAGAUCUCCUGGAGUGAAUAAUUAUGAGAGUUAUUUUCAAAUAAAAACUCCCCCGGAACAAGCUACCCUUGGGCCCUCAGAGCACUUAAACAAGCUAUGUCUGCACUACUCCAAGAGAAGUAGAGAGCGCUGGGGAACGGGGAAGCCCCAAGGUUGGGCCAGGCAGGGACCCUUGCUUGUUUGCCCAUUCACUCAUUCCCCGAAAGACCUGCCAGGAACAGAGCUGGUCGGUUUUUUCUGUGCUGCUCCAAGGCACGCACCCCCCUCCCACUCAGGACAUUUUUAUUUCUGUUCCAAACAGCCUCCAUCUUGUCAGGUGGUCGGCGAGUCCAUCCCUUCCGAAUUCUGGUGAACUUCCACACACUGUCCUCUAACUUCCCUCUCUAUCACAACAGCUUUGCGGUAGCAUCCUAUAGAGCUGUGAUUCUCAACCCUGUGGGUUGCCGCUCCUUUAGGGGUCGAACAACCCUUUUAGAGGAGUUACCUGAGACCAUCGGAAAACAUUUAUAUUAUGAUUUGCCACAGUAGCCAAGUUACAGCUAUAAAAUGGCAACAAAAAAUAAUUUUAUAGUCAACAUGAGGAAUGGUAUUAAAGGGUCACAGCAUUGGGAAGGUUGAGAACCACUGCCAUGGAGACCUACCUGCCUUUCUCAAUUAACCAAAUAAUAAACGCCCUGCCAUCCAUAGCAGGGGGUCAGCCAGGUAUGGGUUUGUGCUCUGGUUUGUAUCCUCAGGGAAGCCACUAGCCUCUUGCUUAUGGCCUGCCCUUAUAUCAGAACUCUCGAGGGACAUCCCUGGGCAUCACAGGAAAGCCACCAAAUGCAUAGCGUCAGGGGGAUUUGCUGUCUUGCUUUGUGUUUAGUGAAUUUAUCUCCAACAUUCUCCAAACAGCUACAGUGCGGUGUCCUGUACAAAUUCUCCCCUGUAGUUCCGUUGUCACUGGGGUGUGCUGUGUCAGUGACCAGCUCCUGCUUCGGUGAAGUGGCUGUUGCGUUUGGUGGCAAAGAACAGUGACAUCAGUCUGUCACAUUUUAUCAAAGCCAUGGCCUGUUGCUGUCUUGUCUGUUCUCUUAAAAAUAAUCCGAUACAUAAAGAUGUAAAAGUUAUAUAUUUAUGAGAUACAUGUGAUAUUUCAAUGUGCACUAUGUAAUUAAUGUUUAAGUCAGUAAAGCCUACCUGGUGAUUUGC